rnacentral:ncRNA from 2 species
GUCGAUUGGAAUUAAAAGGGAAUCCCGGUGAAAAUCCGGAGCUGUACUCGCAGCUGUAAGUCCUAUUAAAGUUUAUCGCACUCUUUGCCACUGGUGAAAGCUGGGAAGGCGCGAUAAGCGGGAUGAGCCAGAAGACCUGCUUGAUAAGAUA